UGUAAGCGUAUACCAAAGUUGUUGCAGUUAAAACGCUCGUAGUCGGAAUUUGGCAGUUCCGGAAGUGUGCACGUCGUGUGCGCACUUUGCGGGGACUGCUUUUGUGGUCUUGCGUAGGAUGAGGCACUUUCAUUAGUGAACGUCCUCACGCAACCACUCUUUACUGUGAGAAAAUCAGAGUGCUCAAAGCAGGCAUUUGCCGUGAAUGUAUUAGCAUGGAAUAAUAGAAUAGGACUCGGUUCUAUUUGGUUGGUUUGUUGGGACUGAGUAAUGAUUAAGAGGGACAGUUGGGGGCAUUUGUAUUCCGGCGCUAGAGGUGAAAUUCUUAGAUUGCCGGAAGACAAACUGCUGCGAAAGCGUCUGCCAAGGAUGUUUUCAUUGA
rnacentral:rRNA from 1 species